rnacentral:rRNA from 1 species
GAUGAACGCUGGCGGCGUGCCUAAUACAUGCAAGUCGAGCGAACAGACGAGGAGCUUGCUCCUCUGACGUUAGCGGCGGACGGGUGAGUAACACGUGGAUCCCCUACCUAUAAGACUGGGAUAACUUCGGGAAACCGGAGCUAAUCCGGGAUAAUAUAUUGCACCGCAUGGUUCAUUGGUGAAUGACGGUUUUGCUGUCACUUCUAGCUGGUUCCGGGCUGCAUUGGCUAGUUGGUACGGUAACGGCUUACCAAGGCUACGAUGCGUUGCCGACCUGCGAGAGUGAUCGGCCACACUGGAACGGAGACACGGUCCAGAGUCCUACGAGAGGCAGCAGUAGGGAACCGUCGGCAAUGGGCGAAAGCCUGACGGAGCGGCGCCACGUGAGUGAUGAAGGUCUUCGGAUCGUGAAGCUCUGUUAUGAGGGAAAAACAAAUGUGUAAGUAACUAUGCACGUCUUGACGGUACCGAAUCAGAAAGCCACGGCUAACUACGUG